GGCUUCUGGACAGUACUGACGCUGAGAUGCGAAGCGUGGGGAGCAAACAGGAUUAGAUACCUGGUAGUCCACGCUGUAAACGAUGUCGAUUUGGAGUUUGUUGCCUAGAGUGAUGGGCUCCGAAGCUAACGCGAUAAAUCGACCGCUGGGGAGUACGGCCGCAAGGUUAAAACUCAAAUGAAUUGACGGGGGCCCGCACAAGCGGUGGAGCAUGUGGUUUAAUUCGAUGCAACGCGAAGAACCUUACCUGGUCUUGACAUCCAUAGAAUUCUGCAGAGAUGUGGGAGUGCCUUCGGGAACUAUGAGACAGGUGCUGCAUGGCUGUCGUCAGCUCGUGUUGUGAAAUGUUGGGUUAAGUCCCGCAACGAGCGCAACCCUUAUUCUUUGUUGCCAGCGAUUUGGUCGGGAACUCAAAGGAGACUGCCGUUGAUAAAGCGGAGGAAGGUGGGGACGACGUCAAGUCAUCAUGGCCCUUACGACCAGGGCUACACACGUGCUACAAUGGCGUAUACAAAGGGAAGCGAAGGUGCGAGCUGGAGCGGAUCUCAUAAAGUACGUCUAAGUUCGGAUUGGAGUCUGCAACUCGACUCCAUGAAGUCGGAAUCGCUAGUAAUCGUAGAUCAGAAUGCUACGGUGAAUACGUUCCCGGGCCUUGUACACACCGCCCGUCACACCAUGGGAGUGGGUUGCACCAGAAGUAGAUAGCUUAACCGCGAGGGGGGCGUUUACCACGGUGUGAUUCAUGACUGGGGUGAAGUCGUAACAAGGUAACCA
rnacentral:rRNA from 1 species